CGACCGUCGUGCGUGUCACAGGUCUACGUACCUUGUUAACAUUUCUUCAAGACGCGUCGAAUCACAUUCAGAAUACGUAUCUAUGAUCUGCCUGUCAGCUGCAGACGUCAAGCUGGUGGAGCUACAGUGGGAUGUGAUUAAUUGAGAGUGGGUCGGACUGCUGGCACGGAGCUUCUUCCAAUAUCUGACGCUGUUUCCCACCUCUGCAUAAGCUCCGUGUUGCCACCUCCACACCUUCACCUCCUCUGUGUGAGUUAUCUGCUGCAGACUGAACGUGUUACCUGCACGGCUGUUUGGUGAACACCUGUCGACACCGACGCCCUCGUUUAUACGCUCUUUAUUACAGAAGACGAAAUGUUUCAUUCAAGACUCCUUGAUGAUUCUCAGAACCGGGUCACUGUGCUGCGUGUCUACCUGGUGAAUAAAGUUGAAGGACGUCUUCUACUAUUUA